GCCGGGUGCAGUGGUGCACACCUGUAAUCCCAGCAGCUGGAGAGGCAGAGGCAGGAGGAUCCCAAGUUCAAAGCCAGCCUCAGCAAAAGUGAGGCACUAAGUAACUUAGUGAGACCCCGUCUCUA
rnacentral:sRNA from 1 species